UCUAAAUGACACAUUUUGCGGACGGUGCAUCCCACCGUCGAUUCCGCGCAAUUCUCUACACCGUUCGUUUUGUUUGACUACCUGCCCACGUUUGACGGGACGCAGCCAUACCGCUGCUCUGUAAUUCCCCUUCACCAGCCCAUACCCUCCACUAUUCCACCGUACAUCACUGACAUCGUCCGUCCGGCCGAGUUUCAUAUUCAUAUUAAAAAAACUCCAUGUCGUUCAAUUUUUCCCCCUUCACCUCCGACAAUCUUAAAAUCCGCCCGCGUUCCCCUAAAUAUUUCCCCAUUCAACAUACGCCUCUACUACCUUCACCUAAAAUCGCUGUCAAACCCAUAGUCGAAUCACUUCCGGCCGACGGCGAUUAGCAGGUCCCCACAUACUGUGCAUCUUCAAAUCACUCCGAGUUCCGUCAUAAUAUUUCGGUAUGUUUUUUACAUUUAACCUACCUUACUCGCAAUCUUUCAGUAAACUUAUAUGUUCUCGCAACUUACUAAAUCACCUUAGUGAAAAAAAAUCGCAAAUACUACUAUAUUCCAUUGAUCGAAUCACAAAUGAUUUGUGGGAUUUCCAAAAUCCCAAAUCCUAACUUCAUGAUUUUAAAAAUACGUAAACCUGCGGGGCAUCGAAUCCAGCAGUAAUCAAAAUCUCAAUAAUGUAUUCUUAAACUAACGGAAGAUCUCAUGAUGCACAUCUCCAAAGUUUAUGAACAAAUGAAUAUACACUGUUAAAAGAAAAUAAAAAAAUUAAAUCGAUUUUCCUUUUCGGAUUAUACUCUUGUUUUCGUAGAUUCCUAUUCUACAUGUCUUUCUGAAUUAUCUCCUUUUUUUUCUGAUUCCAAACCUUAUCUAUUGAUUUAAUCAAUUCUUGGACCAUAAAUGGUAUGGAUUUUAGUUGAUUCCACCCGUUUGGAAUUAUCAUUUCCUCUAGGAGUUGUAGAUUAUAUAGUUGAUCUUACUAAUAUUCAUCUAUUUUCAAUGGCCUAAUCUUUAGAAAUCUAGUACGAAAUUUAAAUCUGCGUAUCGAAAUUAAACUAGCUAUGUGGAACCCCUAUUUCCACCAUGAUAUCUGUUUGUUAUUUGUUUCUUUUUUGUUCGAAAUCUUUUUUUAAGUAUAAAACUACUUUUAUUCUAACGAUAUCUGUGUAGUACACCCUUUUACCUUGAUUAUAAUUUUUUUUUCAAAAUAAUAUUUUCCAAUCAUGAGUUAAAAUAUGAGAUUGUCGGAUAUGUUAGACAAAUCUAUCCUCGUCCAUGGCAAAAUUUAAGAACUUUUUGAUAAAAUGUGUGCUUCUAUUGAAUAAUAAAACGGACCAAGUCUAAAUACAUUGAUUAGGAAGAUAAGAGAAACCUAUGUAGAAGAAUAAUCAGGUAGGAAACCUUCUCAGAGUGAGAAUGCUAUAAAUCAGUGCAUCUGAGAGAAUACAUUAGUGGAAUUCAGGAGAAAAAACUCAGUCGCACUGGUUACACCAUUCUCACCAUGAGAAUAAAAGACAGAAUAGAAGAUGAAUCAAUCAGUUAUCUAAUUUUCAAUUGUGAGUCAUCUAGAUCUAUCCAACUGAAACUCACAAAAUAUACUUGAACCAAGAUAUCUGGAAAGUAACAAACACCCUCAACUCCAGUGUUGGGGUAAAAAUUGCCAUGGACUGCAAUCCCUAAUAACAGCAAAAUACUUUUUAUGUUUUUGCUGUUUUGUGAAAGAAAAUGGCCAUUUCAGAACCAUGUAGUUUGAACUGUGGUGGGCUGGUUUUUCAGUCUCAAACCAUUACAUUAAAUCUCUGAAAUCAUGUUAAAACAUGUAGUGCUUGUGUUUACAUUACUGAUUCAGACCACCAUUUAUUUGUUUGUUAGUAAGUAUAUAUUUAGCAAACUAAAUAAAUUCAUAGAGCUAGGUAAGUUGAUAUCCAUUUCUAAUUUAUGUUGGGUUAAUUAGGUUGAGAGGCAAAUGUAUCUAGGUUACAUUCUAAUUGGAGAAGAUCAACUGAAUUUCUGAAUAGCUUAAUAUUGAGAUAGUUGAUUUCAUUCGAAGAGUACAUUUGAUUAACAACGGUAAUGAAAACGAUUAAGUCCUAACAGUACUCAUUUUCAUUUCAGAACCUAGGCAAGUCAUCAUUUAGAGUGAGGAGGAAUAUUGAAAGAGUCCACCCAUUCCUUCCAUUGUUGAGGAUCAAUCUCGUAAGACUUCAAAGCUUCCUCGUAGUCCUCAACUGACGAGGGUUGUACGGGUAGAGGCGACAUCAAAGGCAUGUAGUUUGGAUGUCCCUCAUGGAUUGCUUGUAGACAAAACCAGCAUUGAUUCAGUUCGGGUAAAGCACUUCUCCUAUACGGGUUUUCUAGUCGAUAUUGGGAGAGUUGCACGGGCUCUUGAAGCGGAGGAGGGGGUGGAUAUGGGUAAUGGUCGAAGAACAUUGGCGAGCAAUGGCCAAAGAUGUCCGACCUCAUAACUGGUUCAUUCGAACGAGAUGAUUCUCCUUUCAUCAUUACUCCGUUCCUCUUCCAGAAUGGCCAGCACCCGCGCAAUCCAGAGGUCCUUGAGGGCGAUGACGUCGAUCUGGAUGUUCGACGUCCUGGAGUAAUAGGCCUGGGCUCCGAUGAAUCAGCAACAACCCCGUUCUCUGUCUCAUCGUCGCUGAUGACAAUGACUUCGUUGAGGUUACCCCUUCUUCUCCUUACACGGUUGUUUUCCGGAGCACCUCUCUUCCUAGAACUCAUUGCCUAACUAUGAACUAAAUGAAUUUUAUAUAUUAGUCAGUGUUGAAAUCGUUAAUUUUGUCAACUUGAAAUGAGGUGGUAAAAAUCGCUAAAAAAUCAGAUAAUAGUAUUAAAAAAAUUUGUAACAGGAAGACAAUCAUUAAAAAAAAAGAAUUUGCCACCUUCAAUUCACACAGGAAAACUCUCAAUUAAAAAACAGUAAUGGCUUGAAAAUGAGAUGAAGUAUCAAUAAUUUUAUGGACGAAAUCAAACAAUUUAUUGGCUACAGGACACAUACGAGUCCAUAGGAAUUAAACUCCGAGGACACACCCUGUUGAACACACAGAAACUAGUUUGCUUGGAAAAAAUACGCAACAAAAGAACUUCAUUAUCAAAUAUCAAAAUCAAUUAUUUAGUUACCAACGCUAUCACUAACAUAGCAUGAUUCAAUGAUUCUAAAUUUUUUAUCCUGCCAAAAAUCAAAAUCCAGAAUGUAGGGUUUUUCUUAAAGUAAGUUGUUAUUUCUUAAACCAUCACAAUCUUAGCUCCAAAAUAUCAGAAAUUCAAUCUACCAAAUACAAUGUCGAGAAGAUAAAUUUUUACACAUUGGCAACGAAAGACAAAACAGAACAAUCCUCAAUGGGUCCGUGCAAGUUAAUUUCAGUGGAGGAGUAGAAAAACAUUUUCAAAGCGUCUAUGAAAUCGUUCAAACCAGAUUUGGUUUGAGGUUUAUCGUCAUAGAUAAAUAAAACGAAGAGAACAAAACCCAACAGAAAUUUAGCUACGAAAAAGAAAACAAGAAAUCGAGAAAAUGAAAACAAGAAAUCGGCCAAUUUCAAUCUGAAAGUACCUUUCUGUGGAGUGUUGGAUACCAAUUUUACAGUGGAGAGGAUUGUUGGUACUAAGAAUGGAGACUCCCCCCCCUUUAAAUAGGCCAAUUGCAAAUGGCGCGAUGUAAUUUGGAAGUCGGUUACCCAUCUGUCCUCAGCCACUGUCCGCCUUGCCGGCCGGUCUCGAACAGUAUGGUGUGGCCAGUCUAAAUAUUUGGGGAAAUGGGGACGAUCGUGAUUUCCUUUGAGUGUAGUAGACAAAGAGUAACAUAUGGAGUGAAGAUGUUCGGCGCCGAUCGUGGGGUGUUCGAUUAGAUGGCCGUUCAGGAUUCGCAUUGCACGAACGACAUUCAGAUUUGGCGUGGGGUGUCUGGCAUGACCUCCCUCUGAAAUUUGUCAUCCUUCGUACUAUGACCUCCCCAUACCGUGAUCACUGUUGAACAUUGGACUGCAAAUGGAUACGAGUCGGAAUCGAAUAAGACAAACGGCAAUUCGAGAACGGCCGGUUGACGGAGUCUGGACCGACGGAUCUCCAUCCGUCUAUCGUCGAAAGACUGUCCGUUGGAGAUGGACGUCCAUCUGGGAACCACAGUGUAUAUAUAUAUAGAUUGAUGUGAUUGAUGGGUUUAUGUGAUUUAUGGGUUGAUUGUGUUUAAGGGUUAUAACUGUUUUUUUAUAUAUUGAUCACUUCAACAAAUCUGUUUUGAUGAUUUGUUAUUGGGUUUGUUUUAUUUUUCGUUAUUGGGUAUAAUCUGUUCUUAUUGGGUUUGUUUAUGGUUUUAAUCUUUUUUAAUUAAGGGUACCAUGAAGUUGAUGGGUUCUUAUUUAAUGAGCAUGGAUUAUGUAAGGGGAGUAAAAAGACAUAUCAAACAUUGUCUAAUCUUCCCGACAACGAAGAGUGGGUCAUCAUUAUUAAAAGAUGAAGACUGGGUAGUCGCGCCGGCGAUGAUCGUAUUGCUAUAUCAGGAUCGUCGGAGAUAUGACUAUUGGAGAAGAUUAACGAAAGGGGGAAGAACUUAGAUCACUUGCACUGUAGCAACGGUCGAGAAGUAACCGUUAGUGCGAGAGAGGUUUAGAGAGAGAUUAGAAUGAUUCAAUUGAAUUAAUGAAAUUGUUAAUUACAUUGUUUAUUUAAUACAAUUGAAUUAACAACUUCUAUAACUAAUUCUAUUAACAAUCUAAUUCCGGCCCACACGCAAUUGGCCCAUUAAAAGUUUAUUGAAACUAUUGCGCUUUGGCCCUUUAGUUUCUUUCCUGUCCAUUUCAUGAGUGACGGACAAAUUACCUGCAUAGUAGACUUAGUAUAAAAACUAGUUAGACAUUCAUAAACAUUUAUUUAUUUGAUUUAGGUCCAAUGUACAGAAUUUUCAGUAUUCUGCAUUCUGGUUAUAAUUAGCCUAAGCUAACUAGCUUUAACUAAUUCCUUUAAUCAUCUCGGGGCAGAGCCGUCCCGUUCGCGACCCGUUCUCACCCCUAGUCUUGUACCUUAUAAACUCUUUAUAAAUGUUAAACUGCAAAUACUUAAAACAUCAAAAUGAACAUUUUUAACACGUCAAUUUAUACUCCCGUUCACAAAGUGAGAAAAAAAAUGUUGUACCCCUUGAUUUUCUGGGGAUGAAAACAACCUUCAUUUUCAGCUUAUCAUGAGGUGAAAAAAAAAAUCUAAAUACAUCAAUUAUUGAUAUAUUCUCUCAAUCCAUAAAGUCACAAAAAAGAAAUCCAGAUUCUCCUUGUAUAUUGUCCAUCUUCAGGAAUCUAAUGAAAGAAAAUUCAAAGCAUGUACCACAUCGCCAAUCAAAGGUCGAACUGCAGCUUCCACUUGAAGACACAUCGAAAUUACAGCAAUGGCUUGAUUCAUGGACGCCACCGGAUAAUUAUCUUUUAGCAAUGGAUCCACUAGUUCAUUAUAUCGUGUUUUGUCCUUCAUCAUAGGUUGUGCCUGUUGGUGAAUAAUAUCGCAACAUUACAUAUAUUAUAUUAUCAUGAUAUUGGAAAUAAUCUCAUUAUACUCAAUGGGUUAGAAAGGAAGUGUUCAUUAGUUUCACUUUGAAUCAUUUAUAAAGCAAUUUUAUGUAUGAUGCAAUGUAACUUACCCAGGUGACAAGGGAUUGUUCAUUCAAGGGCAAUGAAGUAUCCAAAGCUCUUUUUCCUGAAAUA
rnacentral:lncRNA from 1 species